rnacentral:lncRNA from 1 species
AGCAUGCGCACACCAUCGCCGUGCUCCACACCGAGCUGGCUAGCGUGAAGCAGCAGGUGUCCCUGCUGAGCGACAGCGUAGGGAAGCUGAGGGCGUCCGAGGAGCGGCUGGAGGAGGGGCGCGAGGACCUCAUGGAGCAAGUGCGCCGUCUGGAGCGCACCAGGACGGAGCUGGAGACGCAGCUCGCCGUGGCGCAGCGCCAGGAGGCUGAGAUGCGCCAUACGCUCAAUAAGGUUGAGGAGUACAACCUCUCGCUAGGUCAGGACAAG